UUUCAACAAUGAAGCGAGUGGCGAACUGGUGAGUAACACGUGGGAAACCUGCCCAGAAGCGGGGGAUAACACCUGGAAACAGAUGCUAAUACCGCAUAACAACUUGGACCGCAUGGUCCGAGUUUGAAAGAUGGCUUCGGCUAUCACUUUUGGAUGGUCCCGCGGCGUAUUAGCUAGAUGGUGAGGCAACGGCUCACCAUGGCAAUGAUACGUAGCCCGACCCUGAGGAGGGUAAUCGGCCACAGUUGGGACUGAGACACGGACCCAAACUCC
rnacentral:rRNA from 1 species